rnacentral:tRNA from 2 species
UCUAAUAUGACAGAUAAAUGUGUUGAAUUUAAGCUUCAAAUAUAAGAAUUUUUUCUUUUUUAGAA